UGAUUGCUGCUUCUAAGGCCAGAAU
rnacentral:piRNA from 1 species